rnacentral:lncRNA from 1 species
CUAUCUAUGGAUGAAAGAUAUAUAAGGUUUCCUAGAAAUUGACAAUUUGAGGGUCAUCUAUAAGUCAUAUUAUUUGAAAUAGGAUAGUGUGCAAGAUCACCUAUGAGUUGAUAGCUUGUAGGUCAUCCGUAAGCCACAACAACAUCCUAACCGAAUAAUGUGCAAGAUUGCCCAAAAAUCGAUAGUUCAAAGGUUAUCCACAAGCCGCAACUAAAUCCUUACCGGAGAAUAUGCAAGAUUAACAAAUUGAUAUGUCCAAAGGUUCUCUAUAAGACGCGUCAUAUCCAAGAUUGAUUAUGUGCAGGAUUACCCAAAGACUAAUAAUUUGAGGGAUUAUCUAUAAGUCAUAUUGUAUCCAAGGUCGGAUGAUGUGCAUCAACACCUGAAAGCUAGCAACUGGAGGGAUAUCGGUAAGCCAUCUCUUAUCCAAAGUCAAAUAAUGUGCAGGAUUACCUAAAAGCUAGCAAUUCAAAGGAUAUUUGUAAGUCGCCUCGUAUCCAACUUCAAAUAAUGCACAAGAUUAUCCAAAGAUUGACAAUUUAAAAAAAAAAAUUAUAAAUCGAUCAUCUGCUAUAACCAAAGAGGUUAUCAUUCCACAUACAAAAAGUGAUAUAGGUAACCAAAAGGGUUGCCACACCAGUAUAAGAUUACACAGCUAUAGGGACCGUUCUACAAAAAAUAUCCUCGGUGUCCAAAAGGGCCACCCCACUCUGAAGGCAUAUUCAACCGACAAAUGUCAUAAUUAUACAACAACCAAGAUGAUUGUUGUAUUUGUUGUUGCCAGUUAUUUCAUUCCAAAACAGGUGCAUGGAAAGAUGACUUUGCUUCUUAGACAACAACUCACGUGGAGAUGUGGUAAAAACUAUACUCCUUUCUCGUGAAUUGUGCUUAUUAUUAAUGAUUUUUGUUUGAGAUAUUGUUGAGAGCAUCCGAGAGGAUGAAAAUCUCAAAUCAAAACCACAGGUGCGGACGACUCCCAAAAAGAACGCAGCACAACGUCGAACUCUGACUCAGCAGCAAAAUGGGACAUAGUCUGGAGAGAGAUGCCAAACUCUCUAGACACGAGCUAAAUGAUGAUCACCACCACCAUCUAACCACGCCUCUAUUAGAAAGAAUGUGGGUAUUUUUGGAUAUUAUGGUCUCAGCUUUACUUUUGAGAUGUUUUCUUAACUCAUAUCGAGAGGAACUUUCUCAUCCUUUCAAAUUCAAGUGACAACAUACUUAGAAUUUUGGAAAUUAUGGCCGGGUAAGUUCUUUUCUAUGAGUGGGAAGGAUCCCACAUUCUUGAUUAAGAGGUUACAAGCCUUUUUCCACAGCUCAAUCAACUUGUCAUUUAUCCUAAGCCAAAGACCGUCUGAAAUAAAGGCUAUCUUUUCUACCGAUUGAGUCGAACUACAAGCAGUCUGAUUCCUUAAGUCUUGGGGAUAUGUAGGCUGGGCUCCGUAUAGAAAACUCAAUUGCGUUCCAACCUCCCCUAAAUCCCUCUACUCCCUCACUUUUUUUAUUUUAUCAUAAAUUCCCAAAAAAUCGAGAUAUCUUGUGAAUUUUUGAAACCUGAUGCCGAGGUCCUGCCAUAACUCCUUAGGAUCGUACAUAAACCAACUUCCUCCAGAUAUGAAUUUGUGGUCGGACAAAAUUAGGGACAUCAACCUCUCUUUGCCCAGGGUCACUUGCAUUCACCCUAUCCAAAGGGAGAGGGCAGUUGUUGACACCUAAUUUUUGCCCACAGUAACUGAGUUUAGUCUCGAGUUUCUUUGAUUUUAAAAAAAAAUUACAACAUUUACUUUACCCGAAUAAAAGAUUUUCAAAUCGUUUAGUUGGCUAAUUUCAUCGUUUAAGUGAUGAUUAUAUACUAUCGUAUUCAAUUAUACGAAAAUAUAUAUAUAAUUUUGUCGCUUAAACAUUUAUUCUACGGAAUGCCGGUAUUUUAAUUAAGGAUUAUCUUGAAAAUAAUUUUACUAAUUAGAAUCUUGAUUCAAAUAAUUUACUCUCAAAAAAUAAUUUAUUCAGAUGAAUAUGUAUUCAAUUUUUAUCGAAUCAAGAAGCUCGGGGUUAAAUAAGCUAUUAAUUCAUUUCAAGAAAUGAUUUAAUUUGGCCAAUCUGUUAGAUUCGGCCGCAAUUGAAAUCAAAUUGGUAAUAAUUGUGAUGCAAUUGGCCAAUUGAUCUUCAAUUCGGCCAAAACCUAAAUGAAUGGCCAAAUCCUCAAUUUCGACCCAAUUAGCAAAUCAGUAGCGGCCCAUUUUCUCUUCAAUUAUAUCAAUCGAACCGAGCCAUAUAUUCCUGACCCACCAGCCCACUCUCUAUUUUCCAAAUUCCCAAAAUAAUCUAAACCAGUCCAAUGAUAUUUAACUGUCACCCCAAGCCCAAUAUCAAACGACCGGCCCAGCGCCUAAACCCCUACUAACCCAUCUUCUUUUCCUCCUUAAAUUCCAUAAGCAACAGCAACUUCAAGUCAACACCAACCAUCAUCAACACCAACCAAAUCCAAAACCCACCUUCAACCCAGAAUUCGGAGAAACCAGUAACCAACUCCAUCCUUCUUCACGCGUUCCACAUGAUAGCACGAUAAGAAAAAACCUAAAAGCUUCUAGAAAAUGGGUGAGUUGGCUUACCCCAACGGCCAAAUUCCUUGAAUCUCAGAAUUAUUGGUACGAUUUCGUACCUAUGUGUUUUUUGGUUUUGAUUGGUCUUGGGAGCGGAUUUAUACGUUUCCUUUUCCUAUUGGUUGGAACCAAUUCGAAAUUUUUCAAGAAUCCAAAAAUCGGUAAAAGUUCGAGUAACAAAUCCUAUUAUCAACCUUAUCAUCAGUUUUGAAUUUUGAAAUUUUGGAAAAAUACCAAGACUGACCUUACGGAAAGCCCAAAAAUGAACCCUAUCUUUUUGUUCCUCUAUAAAGAGGUGGGCUUGAGGGUUCUAAGGGGGUCUGAGGGAGGAAAAAAGUUCUUGCGAGGAAAAUUCUAGGUCACUAUUUAGGUUAUUUUUUUCUCUUCUUUCCCUUCUGAUGUUGAUAUUACGAGGUUAGUUAUCGAGAGGGGUUUUUCUUUUCUUUCUUUAUUUUGGCUUUUCAGGGAGGGGUUAGAAAUCUUGGUUGAAGAUUAGAAGGUUAGAGACAAGAUUUCGAAAGAAACUGAAGGAAAAUUUUUCUUAAGUUAGCUUGAAAGGCUGAUUAUAAGUUGGGUUGGGGAUUCUGAAAUCAAAGAAGUUUAUUUCGUGAAAAAUUUGCUCGUCCAUUUCUUUUUGGGAAGCUAGUCGAUUAAUUGGGAAUUCCCGAGUCGACAACAUCAAUUCCCAGUGGUGAUGACUUUACUGAUAGCUCAUCGUCCCACUUGCUGCUCUGGAACAUGUAAAGAUCCCUCAUCCUAUUUAAUUUACCGUACUAUUUUUCCACCUCGUUUUGCUGUAAUAAUGUUUGGUCGUUCAAAUAUGAGGUCUAUUGGGGAGGGAGGGGCUUUGUUGGUUUAAAAGAUGAACAUAGUGGCUUUUGUCAGGGUGUAUGGUCUUUUAAAUGGUGGAGAGUCUGUUGUCUGGUUAUUUUCUUAAAGAAAUCCCUAUUCAUGGUUUCAUCUUGGUUGGUUCUGGUUCACUUGUUUGAUUUUGUUCACAAGACUGAAGCUUAAAAUGUGUAGGGGCGUACUCAGGGAAGUAUGAGUCUGUUUUCUUGAUUCCCAUAUGUAAUAAUGCAGAAAGUGAUGGCUCUUUGGGGUUGUUUCUGGAUGUGUUUUAAUCAUAUCCUUGUAUAGCAUACCAAGUCCAGAUUGUCAGGUUUUCUAUAUCAUUUCUUUCUAGAAUUUUCCUUUCAUCUAAGUUCUAUCCUUGGCUUUCAAUUUUCUGUUCCCAGGUCGGAUUGACAACAUUCUGUUCGUAGCUCAUAUUUGGUGUGGUUCUGAUGGUCAUUAUUAGUCUAAUGUGAUGCUCAUAAGUUGGGGUGCAAUUAAAUCUAUGUUAGUUUAAUGAAUUGCUUGUAUCAAAUCUGGGUAUCUUUUGCCUUAAGUUGCUCUUUGUUGUUAUGUAUAGCACUAUUAUUAUACUAACGGGAUAUCAGAUACGUUUUCAUGUUUCUUUGAGCGUUGUUUCUAGACGUUUCGCCAAGUAAGGAGUUCUCUGCCUGUUGAAUAAAAAUAAGUAUCAUCUUGAUAAUUGAUUGAAGUGUUAGUUGUUAGGAUGCUAUAGUAUUUGUGUACCCACUGAAUUUCUUCUAGUUAUUCAUGCUUAAAUUAAUUCCAUAUGUGUGGAUCAUAUUUUUGUUCCAUUGUUUUAUAAACUUGAAUGCAGUUAGGCAUAUGUUAUAAACUCGAAUGCAGUUAGGCAUAUGUUAGAGUAAAUAGUUGCUUCUGCCAAAUGUGGUCCCUUUUCGUAAUGUUUUCCCUUCCUCUGGAUCUUAUGACAUUACACCAUUAAAAUAUAUUUUAAUGCUCUGCCAAGCAUUCUAUCUAAUUGGUUUCCUGCGUAUCGAAUGGAAUUACUAUUAUGUUUAUAUGGAUUGAACUAUUGGUUGUCAUUUUGCAGUGUUCGUGUAUCGGUUCAAAUUCUUUCUUAAGUUCUUUUAGUUGAAUUAUUUCCUCAUCCUUAUUUUUACAUGUUCCUUGCAUGAACCCGCUUUGUGAGAAAAAAAAAUGGACCCUAUUCCUGCUGUUGCAUUAUUAAUGGGGGCCAAUGAGACCCAUUCCUCACGAGCCAAUUAUUAAAAAUCUUAAAACAAGGACCUCAUAGUACGCGGAUCUGAGAGGUUAAUGAAGAACAGCAAUAGAUUAAAGGCCUACGUUUGGAGCGGUUAAGAGGCUCAAAAGUCUCAUUCGUUGUUUUAUUUACUUGUUUAUUUAUUUAUUCAUCUAUUUGGGUCUCAAAGCCAAAGUUGUAAAUUUAAUACAGGUGGAGCGAUACUCGAGCCAAAGGCUCGAAAUAUAAACUAGGAUAGGUGGAAGACGAGCUGAAAGCCUAAUAUCUAGACUAGGACAGGGUGACGAAUUUGGGCAUAAAGGCCCAAAUAAUUUAUUUCUUCCUCUAUUUUCCUUUCGUUAUUUUAUUUUCUUAGUGUUCGAAUCUAGUUAACUCCCUAACUAAGUCGCUAAAAAACUGAUUUUGCAAAAACCUUCUCAGUAAUUAACUACUUUUCCAACAAAUCGAUUUUUCAAAGUUAGUCAAAAGAACGUUUUCAAACAGAUUGGAUAACCGCAAGUUAGAGGACGUUUUAGGUGUCUAACACCUUCCUAAAACAUUAAUAGGAACCGCUUACUCAGAAUCUUCAAACUUAAAAUGAUUUUUCUGUUUUGAAUCGUUUGAAGUAACUCCCUAAAAGUUUCUUAAUUCCUUUUCAAAAUUAAGUGGCGACUCUCUUUCACAAAAUGUCAAAAUUUUAUCAAAACAGUGAUUACACUUUUUGAAUUUCAAAACACAAGUUCACCUUUCAAGAACUACAUUAAACCAUUUUCAAGUCACUAAUCCACUUUUCAAGUGACUAGUACACAUUUCAAGGAACUACACUUAACCAUUUUCAACGCUCUAAUUCACAUUUCAAGUGACUAAGUCUAACCAUUUUCAAGUCAUGAAUUCAUAUUUCAAGUGUCAACAGUAAACCAAUUUCAAGUUAUGAAUUCAUAGUUUCAAGUGAUUACACUUUACAAAUUUCAAAACACAAGUUCACCUUUCAAGAACUACACUAAACCAUUUUCAAGUCCCUAAUCCACUUUUCAAGUUACUAGUACAUAUUUCAAAAUGCUACACUUAACUAUUUUCAACACUGCACUGAACCAAUAUUCAAAACUUUAACGCGUCCGUUAAUGUUAAUUAAAACAUAUGCUUGAAUUCCACAUGUAUUUGUGAGUGAUUGAAUAUGGCACUAACACAGCAUGGGAUGGCCAGCUUGUUUGUGUAACAUAUUUGAAAACCCCAACUAACAAAUCUAUAAAAUAAAAUUGAAAGUGACAAUACCAAGUGAUAUAUAUAUAUAUAUAUAUGAUGAAUAAUGAAUAAUUAGAUAAAAAAAAUUAUUUAUUAUAAGAUUUUACGAAUUAACACAAGUUAUAUAGUUCUAGUCAUUACUCAACCAUAGUGUUAAUUAGGUCCAUUAAUGUUUCCUGUGUUUAUCCCUUAUGAUUCAUGAAAAAAAAAGAUUAUAUUCUAGUAUCUAAUGUUUCUAUUAAUCUAUAAUGAACUCCAACUAUGAGAGGGUUAUAACUUAGUGAUCAAAAGCAUAGGCAUAAUUAACAACUCAGUUUACAAACCCCUCCUGUAUUACUUCAACAAUAAAAAGGAAAUUAAAACUCAAAUGAACACAGAUAAACUACGAAAAAUACCAACUUCAAAAUAAAAAGAUCGAACCAAAAUACGAGAGAUAGAGAAGAAGGGGAUGAGAAGUGCAGACUUAAAAUUAGGGAUGAGAAGACUACGGAUUUUUCAUAGUAAUUUUGUUUGCCUCUUCUCUUCUUCAUACGUGUUAUUAUUUAUAACUAAUGCAUCACCCGAGUCCCACACAUAACUUUUUCAUUUUCUAAUUUUUCCCUUCACUGUAUAUUCUUGACUCAAAUCAUUCAUAACACAUAAGUAAACGUCAAUUAAACUAAAUUUGUUCAUCAAGCACAACUGAAAAUAGUGAAAAAUAAUAAAGCAGCAAGUAGAUAUCAAUUAAGGUAAGAGAGCUAACGGAGAAAAGAAUGAGGAAGACCAGAGAGGCGGUGGGACGACUGAUAUAGAUGGCUUUUCGUCAAUGAAAACUCCGGCGUUAUCUCGAUGGCGGCAUCCACUAGUGCUUUGCCGGCUAACAUCGCGGAUGCUGAGAGCAUUUCAUGGUGUCAGCGCUGGCUUUGAGGCUAGCCGAUUGGUCUGUCAAUAUUGGCGACACGACAGGGAGAAGAAGAAGGCAAGGGAGGCGGCGCCAUUGUUGGUCAGUCCACCGGCGGCGGUUCGCUGUCUGUUAUGAGAGUCUUCUAGAGAGAGAGAAUAUAGGGAAGGAAGAGCCUUUGUGCGACGGAAAAAUGGGGGCUUAGGGUUUGGUCAUGUGUUUUAAAAGGAAAGAG